UUUCCUUGUAUAACAACCCUGGCGGUCCUGGAACUGGAUCUUUAGGCCAGGCUGGCCUUGAACUCGGAGAUCCCCUGCAUCUGCCUCUCGAGUGCCUAGAUUAAAGGCGUGCACCACCACU